UAACCAACAAGUUAUAUUAUUUUUUAUUCAUGUUAGAAUUUCUAUCAGUGUUUGAACAUUAAUAUUUAGAGAGUUUGUACAUUUUUGCCUUCCGAGGUUUAAAAUGAGAACCACACUAGGUCACAAAUUGUAACUAAUACAACACAUUCCACAACUGCAUGAAUAUUCACUCAAUCUCACUCUCUUAACACUGUUAAGACAUUUUCUUUUCCUUGCUGUACUUUACAAUGAAAAGUGUGCCCCACUCAUGUCUCAGCAAAGUUCCAGACAUUAUGGAUUCAUCACAUAUAAAUUCUUUAAAAAUAUACUUCUGUCAAAAGACUUGAUGACUACUAUGUACACUACCUGAACUAUUUAACAUUAGUAAGCACUCUAUACAAAUAAAAAUUCU
rnacentral:lncRNA from 1 species